rnacentral:rRNA from 1 species
GAUGAACGCUGGCGGCGUGCCUAAUACAUGCAAGUCGAGCGAACAGACGAGGAGCUUGCUCCUCUGACGUUAGCGGCGGACGGGUGAGUAACACGUGGAUAACCUACCUAUAAGACUGGGAUAACUUCGGGAAACCGGAGCUAAUACCGGAUAAUAUAUUGAACCGCAUGGUUCAAUAGUGAAAGACGGUUUUGCUGUCACUUAUAGAUGGAUCCGCGCCGCAUUAGCUAGUUGGUAAGGUAACGGCUUACCAAGGCGACGAUGCGUAGCCGACCUGAGAGGGUGAUCGGCCACACUGGAACUGAGACACGGUCCAGACUCCUACGGGAGGCAGCAGUAGGGAAUCUUCCGCAAUGGGCGAAAGCCUGACGGAGCAACGCCGCGUGAGUGAUGAAGGUCUUCGGAUCGUAAAACUCUGUUAUUAGUGAAGAACAAAUGUGUAAGUAACUAUGCACGUCUUGACGGUACCUAAUCAGAAAGCCACGGCUAACUACGUG